UACGUAGGGGGCAAGCGUUGUCCGGAUUUAUUGGGCGUAAAGCGCGUGUAGGCGGCCAGGUAGGUCCGCUGUGAAAACCCGAGGCUCAACCUCGGGACGUCGGCGGAAACCAUCUGGCUAGAGUCCGGAAGAGGAGAGUGGAAUUCCCGGUGUAGCGGUGAAAUGCGUAGAUAUCGGAAGGAACACCUGUGGCGAAAGCGGCUCACUGGACCACAACUGACGCUGAGGCGCGAAAGCUAGGG
rnacentral:rRNA from 1 species